rnacentral:misc_RNA from 1 species
AUGCGAUAAGUAAUGUGAAUUGCAGAAUUCAGUGAAUCAUCGAAUCUUUGAACGCACAUUGCGCCCGCUAGUAUUCUGGCGGGCAUGCCUGUUCGAGCGUCAUUUCAACCAUCAAGCUAUUGGGCCCAGGCUUGUGUUGGGGACCUGCGGCUGCCGCAGCCCCCUAAAAACAGUGGCGGUCUCGCUGUCAUACCGAGCGCAGUAGUGAAUUCUUCGUUCUGGUCGUGGCAGUGGGUGCUAGCCGUGAAACAUCCUUCUAAGGUUGACCUCGGAUCAGGUAGGAAUACCCGCUGAACUUAA